GACUGGUGGAACUUCCUGGAUAUGGUCGUCCUGUCCCUGUACCUGGCAGCCUUCGCACUGCGCCUCCUCCUGGCUGGGCUUGCCCCCAUGCACUGCCGGGACGCCUCCCAAGCGGCUGCCUGCCACUAUUUCACCAUGGCUGAAUGAAGCGAGUGGCACACCGAGGAUCCCCAGUUCUUGGCUGAGGUGCUCUUCACUGCCACCAGCAUGCUCAGCUUCACCCGCCUGGCCUACAUUCUGCCGGCCCACGAGUCGCUGGGCACUCUGCAGAUUUCCAUUGGCAAGAUGAUUGAAGACAUGAUCCGAGACGUGCGCUCCAAAGACCUCUGACCCCCUGAAACUACAGGCAAAAUUUGGAGGUUUCAAUGAGACGUUUCAGUUUCUGUUCUGGACCAUGUUCGGUAUGGAAGAGCACAGCGUGGUGGACGUGCCUCAGUUUCUGGUGCCCGAGUUUGCAGGCCGGGCCCUCUAUGGCAUCUUUACCAUCAUCAUGGUCAUUGUGCUGCUCAACAUGCUCAUUGCUAUGAUCACCAACUCCUUCCAGAAGAUUGAGGAUGAUGCUGACGUGGAGUGGACGUUUGCUCGCUCCAAGCUGUAUCUGUUCUACUUCUGAGAGGGCCUGACACUGCCUGUGCCCUUCAACAUCCUGCCCUCCUCGAAGGCUGUCUUCUACCUUCUCAGGAGAAUUUGCCAGUUCAUUUGCUGUUGCUGUUCCUGCUGCAAAACCAAGAAGCCAGACUAUCCCCCGAUCCCUACUUUUGCCAAUCCCAGGGCAGGGGCUGUGCCUGGGGAGGGAGAGCGUGGAUCCUACCGCCUUCACGUCAUCAAGGCCCUGGUACAGCGCUACACAGAGACUGCCCGGCGAGAAUUCGAGGAGACCCGGCGGAAAGAUCUGGGCAACAGACUCACAGAGCUGACCAAGACCAUAUCUCGACUGCAAAGCGAGGUAGCCGGUGUGCGGUGAACUCUGGCAGAGGGAGGGACGCCCCGGCCUCCCGACGGUGCCAGCGUCCUCAGUCACUACAUCACUCAAGUGCACAACAGCUUCCAGAACCUGGGGCCUCCCAUCCCUGAGACCCCAGAGCUGACAGGGCCUGGGAUUGUGAGGACCCAGGAAUCAUCAGGAACCGGGCUUCAGGACACUGGAGGGGUGAGGACUCUGGCUUCCGGAGAGUCUGGCCCCUGCUCCCCAGCUCAUGUGCUAGUUCAUAGGGAGCAGGAAGCAGAGGGGGCUGGGGACCUGCCCCAGGGGGAGGAUUCGGGGACUGAGAGGAGGUCCUGAUACAGUGGAAGAGUCCCUUCUUCUGUUGCUGAGCGUGGUAGCCUAGGAGGGUGAGGGUGGGGGGCCCCUUGGGAGGAGCCUGUGCUGCUUUUCUUGCUUCAAUAAAGUUUCUGCUCUGGA
ensembl:lncRNA TRPC2 transient receptor potential cation channel subfamily C member 2 (pseudogene)